rnacentral:piRNA from 1 species
AAUGAUUUGAGUUUGGAAGUGCCCUGUU